rnacentral:tRNA from 3 species
UGGGGUAUAGCUCGGUCUGGUUAGAGCAUUCCGCUGAUAACGGAACGGUCGUCGGUUCAAAUCCGACUGCCCCAAC